CUCUCUUCUAGUUGGUUGGAAUGUGGGUAUGGUUGCUGGAGGUGAAAUAGAAAUUCUGAACCAGGAGCACAUUUUGGAAAUGAGGUCACCACUGCACAACAACAGAGUAAAAGAAGUCUGUGUCCUGAAACCGAGAAACACCAUUCCAGUCCUGUAGCUCCUGCCUUAUUUUAACAAGAGACAGAAAGAAAUUCCUAUUUUACCUAAGGCCCUGUUAGUUUGAGCUUUCUCUAACUUUUGGCUGAUACUUAGCAAUCAGCAAGAAACUUUAUGAUUUUGUUUUUGCUCCUAGGUCUACCUGAAUGAAGGAAAAAGACUGUCCCGCGUAUUAAUUUCAACUAGAAAAGAGAUAAAGCGAAUUAAUUUUAAAAAUAUUUCUACUAACCUCUAGAUUCAGAAUAUACAUUCACAGCAGGCUGAUUUAUGCUGUGAUAAGAAGCAAUCUCCAAGUUUCCG
rnacentral:lncRNA from 10 species